AAGCCUGAUAAGUGCCACGUCGGCAUGGCCGAGGUACAGUAUCUCGGCCAUAGACUAGGAUCAGGCAAACAGCAGGCUGAACCCGCUAAGGUAGAAGCUAUCGCCAACUGGCCACAACCCCAUACCAAGACUAGCGUUCCUAGGAACAGCAGGCUACUACCACAAGUUUGUCCCCGAGUAUAGUGCCCUGGCCAAACCCCUCACCAACCUAACCAAAAAGUAACCUGGACCCCGGAGUGCGCGGUCGCCUUUCAACAACUUAAGACUGCACUAAGCGAGGCACCUGUGUUGGCAGCCCCAAACCAUGCUAAACAAUUUCUUGUACACAGAUAGCUCCAUGUUUGGGCUGGGAGCCGUGUUGAGCCAAGUGGGGUACGACGGGAUGGGACACCUCGUGGCAUAUCUCAGCCGGAAACUAUUGCCCAGAGAAGUCAGUUAUGCCACCAUGGAGAAAGAGUGCCUGAAAAAACAGCAACCAUACCUGUACGGCCGUCCCUUUACACUUAUUACUGACCAUAACCCCAUUAUUUGGCUAAAUCGAGUAUGUGAAACUAAAAUCGGACACUGGACUUUCCGAACACCGAUCAAACUGUACGAACGCCUGCUUCCUUUUCCCAAACAGCCAGGAGAC